CUUGCUCUCCCAUAAGAGGUCCAGCCUGCCCAGUGACUUAGUUCAACGGCCGCGGUACCCUAACCGUGCGAAGGUAGCGUAAUCACUUGUCUUCUAAAUAGAGACUAGUAUGAAAGGCAUCACGAGAAUUUAACUGUCUCCUUUUUCCAAUCAGUGAAACUAAUCUUCCCGUGAAGAAGCGGGAAUCCAAAAAUAAGACGAGAAGACCCUAUGGAGCUUUAAACACUAACCACCUGCCCAAUCUUAUAAAACCCCGGUUCCUAAACCAACGCAUCAUGACUACGUGUUUUUGAUUGGGGCGACCACGGAAAAUAAUCAAACCUCCGUAAUGAAAACCUUCAAGCCACAGCUUUAAGUAUCAACAAAUUGACAUCCAUUGACCCAAUAUAUUGACUAAUGAAC
rnacentral:rRNA from 2 species